rnacentral:rRNA from 1 species
UAGGGAAUCUUCGGCAAUGGACGCAAGUCUGACCGAGCAACGCCGCGUGAGUGAAGAAGGUUUUCGGAUCGUAAAACUCUGUUGUUAGAGAAGAACAAGGAUGAGAGUAAAAUGUUCAUCCCUUGACGGUAUCUAACCAGAAAGCCACGGCUAACUACGUGCCAGCAGCCGCGGUAAUACGUAGGUGGCAAGCGUUGUCCGGAUUUAUUGGGCGUAAAGCGAGCGCAGGCGGUUUCUUAAGUCUGAUGUGAAAGCCCCCGGCUCAACCGGGGAGGGUCAUUGGAAACUGGGGAACUUGAGUGCAGAAGAGGAGAGUGGAAUUCCAUGUGUAGCGGUGAAAUGCGUAGAUAUAUGGAGGAAAACCAGUGGCGAAGGCGGCUCUCUGGUCUGUAACUGACGCUGAGGCUCGAAAGCGUGGGGAGCAAACAGG